ensembl:lncRNA
CGGCCGCCCGUCAUUAGGAUGCAGGUCCAUCGCCAUCUCCCUGGAGACCAUGGGAAAGGAGGGCUCGGUGAAUCGUUGUCUGGUCAGAGAAGAGUCACCGCCCUUUAAGUGCCAAGAAGAGGCCUUCCACCCUCUGGUGCAAGAAGACUUUGAACAUUUACUCUCUCGCUCUGAUUAUGUAAAAAUCCUAAUUAAAAAGUUAAUGGGGAACUUGAAGACUGGAGAAUCCAGAUGCAUGCCAGGCUGGCAGGGGGCAGAUGGUAGCUGCUGUUGUUGGGAAAAGAUAUUUGGGGAUCAGUGACCAGAAGGCCAUGUUUACCGACCGGUGAAAAUGUAACUGUAAAGAUCCAUCGCUGGCAGCUGCCUGGAAGCAGAGCCCUCGAGUAUUUGUUUCCAUUAUUUCUAAUUUCACAUAUGACUGUAGUGCUUUAGGGACGUUCAAAUACAUACCAGGAAAGCGGUCGCCAGUCUAACCUCAGCGCUACGAGGACACAACACAACGUUUCCCAAAUCCCCAACCUCUCGUCUUGCCGGGGGCAGGCGGGUGCUGCAGGAGGGCUCUCCCCACCAAGCAGCCAUCGCCCUCACCCCUUGCCAGCAUCAAGGCGAGCAGCGAGCAGCGGGGCUGUCCUCCGCGGGCUGCUCUGCUCCCUGCGCUCCCUACGACUGCUGCUCCGCCACCAGGAGAGGGAGAGGUGGGGAGCCACGGGCACUGCUCCCAGGCACUGCCCAUCUCCGCAGGGAUGGGGAAGAGGACGGACAGAUGUCUCCAGCAGGCCCAGCUGGCAAACAUCUGACCGAACAACCUUACACAGCACAUCAAAGUGCUGUGGACGUUAGCCUGGGCGGACGUUAGGCGCUGCCUGUAAACGUGCUGGAGUGCCUCUGCCGUUCUGAGCACACCAGCGGCAGGGUGUGGAGGAAGGCUCGCUGGCAGCACUGGCUGGAUUCCUCCCUGCAUGCAGUACCUGAAGUACUCCUUCACCCACUUGUGAAGACAGUGGCUUCCUAGAGACAGUGAGUCCAUAAGGAAGCGACAUUUCAUAAUUAUGACAUUUCAUAAUGGAUGUGAAAGACUUUUCUACCCUUCAGCUGCUCCCAACCCAGAUGGUUACACACAUCUUUGUAAGUGCAGAGGUGUUACUUUACUGUCCUUUUGCUGGCCGAAACAAGAAGCCUGGAGGUUCAAGCUCUAAUGAACACAAGAGAAAAAGAAGAAAGAAUGAAACAAAAGAAAUGUAGCGAGCAGGACAGAAAGUGACCCAGAUCUUCUCUUCCAAAUAACCUUAUGCUCAACAAAACUUCGAAGCUAAGGCCAAGGCUAACACUGGUGACAAUUCUGGAGGUGGCAAAACUGGAUUGCUUUGCUCUUAUGAGCACUGUGGCAAUCAGAAGGGGCAACAGGAGCUCAGAAAAAGUAACUACAGCACAAGCCCCAGCACAGUUCUCCUACAGCAUCUCAUCACCAUCCUGCGUUGUUUCUGUUGGCAAAUGGGGAGAACCAGCGUAGUUAACGGGUGUCCUGUGUUACACUGUCAUGCAUAUUCCAAACAGUCGUUGCAUGGCUGAUGAGUUGCCUGGUGAAGUCUGAAUUCAGAACAGAAGGCCUCUCAAUACGCAGUUCUGCAUCUCUGGCAGGAUUUAAAACAAGGAGAGGCUAUCUAGCACCACUUCCACCCAAUUGCUGUGGCCUGUUAAGUAUGGCUACUUGACUAACAGUCCUUUUGCUGCUUCUUGAAGAAAAUGUUUUUAUUUAAGGGUUGUUGACUUGCCAUAUUUUCACCAGUGUAUCCAGCAAUGAAGCAGCCAGUUUCAUAGCUGUAAGAACAUAGCUGAAAUAAAGUGUUAGUUGCGAGGGUGAAAGAUGUAGGA